rnacentral:rRNA from 1 species
CCCUUAGAUGUUCUGGGCCGCACGCGCGCUACACUGACGAAUGCAACGAGCUUAUAACCUUGGCCGAAAGGUCUGGGUAAUCUCCAAAUUUCGUCGUGAUGGGGAUAGAUUAUUGCAAUUGUUAAUCUUCAACGAGGAAUGCCUAGUAAGCGCAAGUCAUCAGCUUGCGUUGAUUACGUCCCUGCCCUUUGUACACACCGCCCGUCGCUCCUACCGAUUGAAUGGUCCGGUGAAGCGUUCGGACCGUGGCCUUUGGACGGUUCGCCGUCUGUUGGCUGCGGGAAGUUCGUUAAACCUUAUCAUUUAGAGGAAGGAGAAGUCGUAACA